AUGGCUCAUACUAACAAUAAAUAGGUCCUCCCGGGGACCCACCACCCAAACUCCUUGUGCCGGGAACAGCUACUAAAGGGGAGGCCCUUUCCAUAUUCCGCUUCAUUCUCCCCUCCUGGCGUGCCUCAAGGAACGACCACUGUCCCCAGGUUACAGGACACACACAGGACAGACUGGAAUAAAUACUGGUGGUUUAUCACAGGAAGGCUGGCCUCAGCUUGGGAGAGUGAGCGUGCACGCAUACACAGCCAGCUGAUUUAUUGUGACCCGAGCCAAGCACUGAACAGAGCGAGGCCAUUUAUCUACUUGGUUGGAGGAGAGGUCAAGAGAGAGAAGUCAGAGAUUAAGCUAAAUAGUUCAGUGCCUUUGUUAACUCCCGGGGCGUCUCCUCUCCACGGCUUGUGUUCCCAGGGAAUACUGUCAUGAGCUCCACAGGGAAGACUGGACUCCUUCUUGGGGAGACAGCCCUGGCCCCAGGGAGCAGCGUGGCCAAGGACAUUCUCAGCCUCUUGGGGUUGCCAAAAGGGAGCAGAAGCAGGAGGAGGGAGGCGGGGAGCUGGGAGGAACACCCCAUCGUGGAAGACCUGCUGCCAAUGCGGGGCUGCAGUCCCAGUCUCUGCCGCCACCAGACCCUGGUCAGGAGACAUCACAGACAGGCUCCCUUCUCCCGCCUUCAUUCAGGGCUCUGCUCAAACAGCCCAUUUGCAAUAGGACUUCCUGCAGUGUCCUAGUUAAAUACCCCCACCCAUGCCCCCCAUCGUACUCUAUCCCUUCCCCUGCUUUAUUUUUCUUCAUGGUGCUCAGCACCCUGACAUAUCUAUGUCUGUAUUUGUUUACUUAUUGUUGGGUCUGUUUUUGAAUGAACUGCUGUGUGUGUGGUGUAAAGUCCAACAUGCGGCAGAUUCUAGGUGCUCAAUAAAUAUCUAUUCAGUGAA